rnacentral:tRNA from 1 species
GCCGGCGUAGCUCAACGGUAGAGCACCCGCCUUGUAAGCGGAAGGUUGCGGGUUCAAUUCCUGCCGCCGGCACCA